AUUACGAUAUUAUGCCGCCGCCAAAAGUUUAAUACUCCACCCCGGAACAGAUUAAACUCUGGCCUAACCGCGCUAUAUCAAACACAUAUACCACCGUCACCUUGUGAUCGGCAGUUUGAUCAUGAGAAAAGGUACAAGAUUUGAUUUAAGUAACCAUCUGAAAAAUUCAUGGAAGAUUUAUAUACAUACACAGUGUCAUGCCCCAUACAGAAGCACUACACAAUAUAAUUGUUAUUUAAAAUGAUAAACACUAUCCAUAAAAACAUGGCUAUAUACACACAAAAUGAAAGAUUGAUUAAUUUACAACCUCGUAAUAUUGAAGGCUAGGUUGAAGCUAGUGAUGAUUUUCUACAUAUGGGACAAGUGGAAUGUAACACGAGCCAUGGAUCAACACAAGCAACAUGAUAAAGAUGACCACAAUCUGGAAGUAACCUCAACAUGUCACUUUCUUUAUAAUCUCCUAAGCAAAUA
rnacentral:lncRNA from 1 species